GGAAUGUUAACUCCAUCCCAGCCAGAGCUGAACGCAGGGCUCCAGGUGGGGUCUCACGAGAGCAGAGCACAGGGGGAGAAUCGCCUCCCUCGACCUGCUGGCCACGCUGCUUUUGAUGCAGACCAAGAGCUGCAAACACAGGCCUGAGCACUCUCCUGGAAUGCACUAGGAGCAACAAUCACCAAAAGUCCUGAUUUGAGGAAACUUCAACGUGGGAGAUGAGGAAGGCCUCAGGAGACAAAACCAAAGGACUGGAGCCAAUCUAAGGCCCGCACCGCUCCUGCCAGAAGCCCGGCUGUGCAUGGCAAUGGGGGAAGACCACGGAUAAGAGCCUGUGGGAAAAUAGCUGAACCAUUUGUGGCCAGCACAAAAGCAGAUGCUGAAGAACCACUGACAUGGACUUCAGAUUCGGAGAAAGCUUUCAUAAUCCUGUAGAAAGUUUUGAUGUCAGCACCCACACUCAAGAUGCUAAAUUACAUUUUCAGAGACUCCACAAGUACGAACUGCUGUUGAUGACAGCAGAUAACAUCCUCUUGAGAAGAUGCAAAUCCUUGAACCUGGCAACCUUGUUACCAUUGGUGGAUGAAGGGGACCCACAUCAUGGCUGCAUAGAGCAGGUGAGCCUUGACCCUCAAGGAGUCAGCCCUGAGAGACAUCACACCUCAGAAGUGUCCCAGCUUAGGGAAACUGAGGGUCACAUCCUGCUGUGAUUCCUGGAGAGCUCCGUCAUUUCUCCACGGGGGAUUUCUAUGGGUACCUGUUUCAAGGCAGUACCCCCUUUGUUCAUGGUCAUGGUGUUGAGCAUGCACUUGGUGCUCUGUUAUUGAUGUGCUGUCUGGUUCAAGGAAUGGGCACAUCAAGGCCUUCUGUGGCUCAUAAACCUGAGGAAGACUUACGUCAAGUGCAGGAGAAGAGCAUACCUGCCACAAUAGGAUGGCCCAAAGCACUCACCUUUAUGGAAUGCAGAGGCAGGCAGUAUAAUGAGGUUCUUAUUAAAAGACACGGUGACCAGGCUUGGAAUUCCAGAAAAGGUUGAUUCAAACCAGGGGAGCCAUUUCACAGCUCAGGUUUUAAAAAGGUGAUGUGAAACAUUAGGCGUCACCUAAUACCUGUAUACCCCGUAUCAACCACCAUCGUCAAGGAAAGUUGAAUGAAUGAAUCAGAGCUUGAAAAAUACUGUAUUUAAUACUUGUGCAGAAACCGAUCUGAAGAAGACAGAUGCCUUAACAAUCACUUUAAUGCAUACAAAGCAGAGGCCAAAACAGAUAGGAUUAAUGCCAGCUGGGGUAUUAUUUGGGAGAUAUUUUCAGAUUCCAAAUACUUAUGUAGCUGCAAAGACUGUCUUACUGGGAGGGGAUGAAAGGUUGACUCAGUAUGUGUUGGAGAUCCACAAAUACAUAAAAUCUUGACAAUACUAAGCUCAACUGUAGCAACCACUGUCUUUAGAAGGGAAAAUGCAGCCCUAUGAACAAGAAGAUUACAUAAAAAGAAAAAUCAGUUAAGCCUAAGGUGGGAAUGGCUUUCUUUCAGGGGGUAUUGUUGACUUCUUUUUCAUCAGUACUUGUAAGAAGGAAAAACCCUGGGAUGCACUGUUCUCAUGUGAAAUUUUCCAGGGCUGAAGAAGUCAAAAUUCCCUUGAAAAUUAUAUAGGAAAAAAAAAAAAAAA
ensembl:lncRNA